UGUAGGCACCAGGAAGUAAAAGAACAAAAGACAGGUAUCAAUCACUAAGUCAGGAAGACUGUCAAGCGAGUCUUAGACCUGUCAUUUUUUAAGAUUUGAAGGACAUCAAGAAACUUCAAGAAAUGCCCCAAAAAUAAGAAUAUUUCUGCAGCUGGCAAAACCUAUCUCAAAAUGAAACACAUAACAAACAAUCUUAGGAAGGGAUUUAACUUCCCUAAAGAUAGCAGCAAGAGAUCUAAAAAAAUUAAUAAUUUUUCUUUUUGUUUUUGGCUAAAAUUCAAUGUAGAACCACCUUCUCUACAAUAAUUUCACAGACCAUCAAAGUUAUUUAUUAUUAAGGCAUGUUACAAACAAAAUAUAUUAGGAAAGUUAUUUGAGGUGACAAAGCUACAUUGAAUGAAAAGGAAGCAAUUGUCCCUUUACCUUUGGUUAUAUAUAUAUAUAUAUA
rnacentral:misc_RNA from 1 species